CGUUAUCAUGCACCGUGUGCUAUUUUUCCCCUACUUCCGGUAAGAAGUAAACAUCGGGGCUUGCUGUCAAAUUGUAUGGAACACCACUCUGUUCGACGAAUUACUGGUUAUUGUCAAGUAAAUCGUGUAUGUGCUGAGGAGAAGUGUGUUAUUUGCGACGUGAAGGACGAACGUAAAAUAGCAACAUUGGGUGAAAAAAGGUGUAGAGAGUUAAUUUCUGCAGCCAGGAAUAAAGGAGAACAAAUGUAUGUUACACCUGAGAACAUUGUCCGCUGUGAUGUAGAAAAGUUAUUGCCACCAGAAUCUACUUUGAGAUGCAAACGGUACCUCUAACGUAGCUAAACGGACACAUUCAUCUCACUUCUUUUCAUUUCAAAUGUCUAUUAUGUGGUACAGAUGCCAAACAAAAUGACAAAAAGGCAUAUGAUGUUUUUCAAAUGAAGACUUCGAAAUUUCAGUUAAAAAUAAAAGAUCUGUAAAAUGGGGAAGCGAAGUUUUCUGUAGACUUGAGUCCGUACAUGAUCUAACAGCAGUUGGUGCAAGAUAUCAUCAAAAGUGUAGCACGCAUUUCAGAACAGGAUGUCAAGUUCCGAUUAAACAUCAAACACCUCAAAAUACUGUAAAACGUAAAGGAAGACCAACAAAAGAAUCAUCUGAAGAGGCAUUUUUGAAAACCAUGCAUUAUUUUGAAAACACUGAAAGCGAACAAAUAACUUUAAUUAUUAAAUGAUCCCAGGCAAAAGUCACUCUUCACAUGAUGACAUUGAAACAGCUGGUAAUAAAUCAUUCAUAUGUUUGUACAAAGGUAAAACAAAUGAAACAUUAAACACAUUAAGGUACAGAAAAUUCAUUACGAAGGCAACAACAAGCACAUCGGUAGUACAGAUACAGACUCUACCACCUACAGAGGCAGCUGAAAAGUUUCAUAAUUUUAAAGUGCACUGCCAUUUAAGUACAGACAUGGUUUGGAAGGAAUACAAACCCUCUUGACUGGGGAUGGUACAAACAUGGUGAUAAACGUGUUCCUUAGCACAAAGUUGCUCUAAUGGGAGGGCUGUAGAUGUCAUGACAUUAACUUAACUGACUUUCAUAAUCUUGAGAGAGCAAUCAAAAGUUUUUUCCAUCUCCUGAAUUUACAUUAAACAUGUUUUAAAGAACCAUGUCUUAUUACUAAGGACAACAGACUAACUUUAUAAUAGAGCAUAAUUUUACAGUAUAUCGCAUCACAAAGUUUUGUCCUCACAGUGGUUUUCAUUUUGUACAUUACAGCUUUGUGUACAUUUGCUGUUAGCUGAAAAAAUGUAGUUUAGUGCCAAUUUUAAAACAGUUUUAACAUUUUACUGUGGAGACCUGUUCUAUAUAUACUGUAGUACAGUCACUGUUGAUCUGGGAUUCUUUUCCUUAUUGCUUUUUAAUAUACCGUUCUUGAUAUUAUGACAUUUGUUACAUUUAGCGCGGGUUUCAAAGAAAUAGUUUAAAGAUAUUGCUUGCACGUUUUAUGCGUGGAUCGGCCCACUUAACUCUUUAGGGAGAGCACCUAUCUACGGAUCGCGGGGUCGUGACUUGGGUCCUCGGGCGGGCCGUAUGUUCUCCGUGACGAUUUGAUAAAAGACAUUGUGUCUGAAAUCAUUCAUCCUCCACCUCUGGUUCAUGUGGGGAAGUUGGCAGUUACUUGCGGAGAACAGGUUUGUACUGGUACAGAAUCCAGAAACACUGGUUAGGCUAACUGCCCGCCGUUACAUAACUGAGAUAGUGUUGAAAAACGGCGAUAAACGUUACAUUAAUAAAAUUGAUGGGUGGGGUAAAUCUAUAGUGUACAUUAAUGCAUUUAUUAGUAAAUGUCACAACAUAGUUUAGUAUCAGCUUUAAUUUAUAUGAUAUUUUAUAUAAUCAAUGCCUCUAAUUGAAGAAAUAAACCAACGUAUAGGUUUAAGCUAAUGUAUGUUACCUAAUGAAUUAACCUCUUGAUUCGUCUAAAUCAUUCAGUUUCAAUGAGGGUGCCCUUCAUAAUCUCAUUUAUUUUUAAUUUUCCAAUGGGAAUUUUUUUUGAGGACUUUUUUUCUAAAAUUCUCUAAUAUUUAAAGAUUAUAAAACAAUAAAAAUAUUUCAUGUUGGGAUUUGUUUAACCUUUCGACAAAAUAUGUGGUAAUAUGACCGGCCUAACAAUAUUUCUUGAUGAAAAGCAAACACGUUAAAUUACAGUCUAUUAUCCCAUUACAUAAUUUACUCUUUCAAUUACAUAUUAAGCUCAAAAGAUGUCGUCAUCAACAGUAAAGAAUUGUCGAAACAUUAAUGUCAGAAAUGCAUUGGCUAAAUAUACGUACGCAUUUUAACCCUUAUCAUACUGGACAGGGUUUAUUCUGCCUUUUCCGACCAGUGUAGAUCCUGAUCAGCCUGCACAACAAUGCAGUCUGAUCAAGAUCUGCACUGUUUGCCAUUCAGUCACCCCUUUUAACAGUAAAUGAUACUGUCAAAACUGAAAGAUGGACAAGUUCAUUCUAGAAAUUUAGCAAAGUAAGGGUUAACGUGUGUGUGUGUGUUUGUGGUGUGUGCGUCUGCGUGCUGUGGGUUUCGUUUUGGGGAGGCUGCGUUUUUGGUACGUGGCAUUCCCUGUUUGAUAUUUGUCUUUGUUUUUUAAUUUAAUCCAAAAGAUAUAUUAUGAAAUAUCAGUGGUUUGUUUCAAGCUAUGUUGUUCAAGCUAUAUGACUGAAGAGAGCUUUUGAUUGAUCUUUCUCAUGUGAAUAUAUCAUAUCUGACUAAAUGCGUUUUAUAGUAAAUCUAAAGACACAAG